rnacentral:rRNA from 1 species
GACGAACGCUGGCGGCGUGCCUAAUACAUGCAAGUAGAACGCAGUUGCGAACGGGUGAGUAACGCGUAGGUAACUGCCUGGUAGCGGGGGGUACACAUUGGGAACGAUAGCUAAUACCGCCUACUACAAGAUGGACCUGCGUUGGAUUAGCUAGUUGGGGGGGUACCGGCUCACCAAGGCAACGAUACAUAGCCGACCUGAGAGGGUGAUCGGCCAAUCUGGGACUGAGAAACGGCCCAGACUCCGUCGGGAGGCAGCAGGAGGGAAUCUUCGGCAAUGGACGGAAGUCUGAACGAGCAACGCCGCGGGAGUGAAGAAGGUUUUCGGAUCGUAAAGCUCUGUUGUAAGAGAAGCGGUAUCUUACCAGAAAGGGACGGCUAACUACGUGCCAGCAGCCGCGGUAAUUC